rnacentral:misc_RNA from 1 species
UUAUCAUUUAGAGGAAGGAGAAGUCGUAACAAGGUUUCCGUAGGUGAACCUGCGGAAGGAUCAUUGUCGAUGCCUCGCAAUCAGUUUGACCGGCGAACUUGUUUAUUUUCUAACCUGCAGGGUUGGCUUGGGGUGUUUGACAUCUCAUCCUCUCCCCUGCGCCGGGAGGCGGUCGUGCCUUGCUCGGCUUCCUCUCGACACACUCAAACCCCGGCGCUUCGUGCGCCAAGGAAUCCAAAAUUGUUCGGCGCGGCCCGGGGGACUCGGAGACGGUGUUCCUACGGGUCUGGUCGCGAGACACGUAAAAUAAUGACUCUCGGCAACGGAUAUCUCGGCUCUUGCAUCGAUGAAGAACGUAGCGAAAUGCGAUACUUGGUGUGAAUUGCAGAAUCCCGUGAACCAUCGAGUCUUUGAACGCAAGUUGCGCCCGAAGCCAUUAGGCCGAGGGCACGCCUGCCUGGGUGUCACACAUCGUUACCCUCACGCAAAUGUGUCUUGUUAGCCACAGCGUAGGGCGUAUGUUGACCUCCCGCGAGCGGUGUCUCGUGGUUGGUUGAAAACUGAGUUUGCGGUGGAGUGUGUCGUGAUGAGAUGGUGGAUGGGCAUUGCCCGAGGCCAGUCACGCUUGACUCUGUCCGGUUUGGACUAUGGGACCCCUUCGGCGUCUCCGGACGCUCUUUAGCGAGACCUCAGGUCAGGCGGGGCUACCCGCCGAGUUUAAGCAUA